AUGGUUGAAACAAAGAAACACGCAACUUUCCAUUUGGUAUAUUGCAUCAUUGUGUUGGCACUCAUUCUUCCUCUAGCCACUUCAUCAGUUGAGCGGAUAUUUUCGGCAAUGAAGAUCAUCAAGACAGAUUUGCGCAACAAACUAUUAGAUGAUUGGCUACCGCGAGAAAGAGAUAUUCAGAAGCAUUCCUGA
rnacentral:rRNA from 1 species